rnacentral:tRNA from 1 species
GGAGAGUUGACCGAGAGGCCGAAGGUGCUCCCCUGCUAAGGGAGUAGGGGUCAUAAGCCCCUCAAGGGUUCGAAUCCCUUACUCUCCGCCA